UCCAAGCUUACUGAGUUAGAGUCCUUGUGAGUGACUCGAAUGCAAAUUCGUUGAAUUUUUGUAUGUUUUUUCCUAUCCUCCACUUGGAUUGUAGUGAUUUGAGUUUGUUGUGUCAAGGAUUUAUCAAAUAACAGCUUAAUUGGGGAGAUACCUGUUUUUCUGGUAGAAAACCUGCCAUCGCUUAGAGUCCUAAACUUGCAGAAUAACAACCUCAUAGGUCUAAUUCCAAAUGCACUUCUCCAAAAGUCAAGUGAAGGUGUACUAUCACUUAGGUUGGGGCAAAAUUCAAAUCUAUGUGAAUCUGGUCCUUGUGAC